rnacentral:ncRNA from 1 species
AUAACUGGACUUGUGGCAGCACCAGCGUUCAUAGCGACGUUGCUUUUUGAUCCUUCGAUGUCGGCUCUUCCUAGUCAUACCGAAGCAGGAUUCGGUAAGCGUUGGAUUGUUCACCAGCACUGGUUAUCAGGGAACGUGAGCCUGGGUUUAGCAACCGUCGUGAAGACAGGUU